AUUGAACGCUGGCGGCAGGCCUAACACAUGCAAGUCGAGCGGAUGAAGGGAGCUUGCUCCUGGAUUCAGCGGCGGACGGGUGAGUAAUGCCUAGGAAUCUGCCUGGUCGUGGGGGAUAACGUCCGGUAACGGGCGCUAAUACCGCAUACGUCCUGAGGGAGAAAGUGGGGGAUCUUCGGACCUCACGCUACCAGAUGAGCCUAGGUCGGAUUAGCUAGUUGGAUGGGUAAAGGCCUACCAAGGCGACGAUCCGUAACUGGUCUGAGAGGAUGAUCGGUCACACUGGAACUGAGACACGGUCCAGACUCCUACGGGAGGCAGCAGUGGGGAAUAUUGGACAAUGGGCGAAAGCCUGAUCCAGCCAUGCCGCGUGUGUGAAGAAGGUCUUCGGAUUGUAAAGCACUUUAAGUUGGGAGGAAGGGCAGUAAGUGAAUACCUUGCUGUUUUGACGUUACCAACAGAAUAAGCACCGGCUAACUUCGUG
rnacentral:rRNA from 1 species